GCGGUGGAGCAUGUGGUUUAAUUCGAAGCAACGCGAAGAACCUUACCAGGUCUUGACAUCCCUGACAACCCGAGAGAUCGGCGUUCCCCUUCGGGGGACAGGGUGACAGGUGGUGCAUGGUUGUCGUCAGCUCGUGUCGUGAGAUGUUGGGUUAAGUCCCGCAACGAGCGCAACCCUCGACCUUAGUUGCCAGCAUUCAGUUGGGCACUCUAAGGUGACUGCCGGCUAAAAGUCGGAGGAAGUGGGGAUGACGUCAAAUCAUCAUGCCCCUUAUGACCUGGGCUACACACGUGCUACAAUGGGCGGUACAAAGGGUCGCGAACCCGCGAGGGGGAGCCAAUCCCAAAAAGCCGCUCUCAGUUCGGAUUGCAGGCUGCAACUCGCCUGCAUGAAGCCGGAAUCGCUAGUAAUCGCGGAUCAGCAUGCCGCGGUCGAAUACGUUCCCGGGCCUU
rnacentral:rRNA from 1 species